rnacentral:rRNA from 1 species
GACGUAGGGCGCGAGCGUUGUCCGGAUUUAUUGGGCGUAAAGAGCUCGUAGGCGGCUUGUCGCGUCGUCCGUGAAAACCUGCAGCUCAACUGCAGGCUUGCGGUCGAUACGGGCAGGCUAGAGUUCGGUAGGGGAGACUGGAAUUCCUGGUGUAGCGGUGAAAUGCGUAGAUAUCUGGAGGAACACCGGUGGCGAAGGCGGCAUCCUGGACCGGCAUUGACGCUGAGGAGCGAAAGCCAGGGGAGCAAACGGG